rnacentral:tRNA from 1 species
GCCUGGGUGGCUCAGUCGGUUGAGCGUCUGACUUCAGCUCAUGUCACGGUAUCGCAGUUCACGAGUUCGAGCCCUGUGUCAGGCU